AAAAAGUACUAUCAAUUAAAUAAAAUGGUGAAACAAAAGAAUAGCGAAGAAGAAGCAAAUGCGCUUCACGCUAAUUCCAAGUACCAACACAAAACAAAUUCAAUGUUUGGUGAAGCAACUUGCUUAGUGGCGGACGGGUGAGUAACGCGUGAACAAUCUGCCCCGUACAAAGGGAUAGCCUCGGGAAACCGGGAUUAAAACCAUAUAACACUUAACUGCCGCAUGGUAGUGAAGUCAAAUCGAGUAAGAGGUAUGGGAUGAGUUCGCGUCUGAUUAGCUAGUUGGUGAGGUAAGGGCUCACCAAGGCGACGAUCAGUAGCCGGCCUGAGAGGGUGAACGGCCACACUGGAACUGAGACACGGUCCAGACUCCUACGGGAGGCAGCAGUGGGGAAUAUUGCACAAUGGAGGGAACUCUGAUGCAGCGACGCCGCGUGAGUGAAGAAGGUCUUCGGAUCGUAAAACUCUGUCCUUGGUGAAGAAAAGGACGGUAGCCAAGGAGGAAGCCCCGGCUAACUACGUG
rnacentral:rRNA from 1 species